rnacentral:rRNA from 1 species
GAUGGAUAUCUGCAGAAUUCGCCCUUGGGGAAUUUUCCGCAAUGGGCGAAAGCCUGACGGAGCAAGACCGCGUGGGGGAGGAAGGCUCUAGGGUUGUAAACCCCUUUUCUUUAGGAAGAAGUUCUGACGGUACUAAAGGAAUCAGCCUCGGCUAACUCCGUGCCAGCAGCCGCGGUAAUACGGAGGAGGCAAGCGUUAUCCGGAAUGAUUGGGCGUAAAGCGUCCGCAGGUGGCCAUGUAAGUCUGCUGUCAAAACCCAGGGCUCAACUCUGGUCAGGCAGUGGAAACUACAAAGCUAGAGUUCGGUAGGGGCAAAGGGAAUUCCCGGUGUAGCGGUGAAAUGCGUAGAUAUCGGGAAGAACAUCGGUGGCGAAAGCGCUUUGCUAGACCGAAACUGACACUCAGGGACGAAAGCUAGGGGAGCGAAUGGGAUUAGAUACCCCAGUAGUCAAGGGCGAA